ACACCUGUAAUCCCAGCACUUUGGGAGGCCAAGGCAGGUGAAUCACCUGAGGUCAGGAGUUCAAGACCAGCCUGACCAACAUAUCUACUAAAAAUGUUAAAAAUUAGCCAGGCAUGUUGGCUGGUGCCUGUAAUCCCAGCUACUUGGGAGCCUGAAGCAGGAGAAUCGCUUGAAUCUGGGAGGCAGAGGCUGCAGUGAGCCCAGAUCACAGCACUGUACUCUAGCCUGGGCGACAGAGUGAGACUCUGCCUCGACAACAACAACAACAAUAUUAAAAAAACCUGAACUAGUUAUUUCCUACUCGCCUCCUGGAAUGGCUAAUAAAAUAAACACUAAAGCCUUGCAGUCCCCAAAAAGACCAUGAAGCCCUGAGAGUAAUGGAAAGGUUCCUGAAAUUGAGGUCACUGUGGAAGCCUCAGCCGAGAUGUCUCACCCCACUCUCUCUGAUGCAACAAGACGCCCCUGGGGAACGUUUCAGUCCCACUCUGUACUUCUGUCACAUGCUCAUCACAGUCUGAGCCACCUAAGCUGAAGAUUCCCUUGAGAACAAGGGCUAGCCUGUGAUUUCAUGACCUUUCUUCCAUUUGUGGUUCUUGCCAAGUGGAAUUUAAAUGACCUUUUAUCAAGAUGGAUAAACCCAAGUUUCCCAGUGCCAGAAUAUAGAAAAUGGAUGGAUAAGUAAGUCCCACUCAGCACCCAUAGCCCAGACAUGGGGACCUGAACACACCUGGGUCCCAGACAUCACCUUUCAUUGUGAGUAGCUCAGAGAUGACAUUCUUGGUUGUUAAGUACCCACUGGCAAUAGUUUAUAUAACAGCAAGUGAAGGAAUAAAUAGUCACCAAAACAUUUUCUGUUCCCAAUUCCAGCAUUAAUUGGAUUAGAUAGUUAUCUUAAGAAGAAUUUUCAUAUACCACAGU